rnacentral:rRNA from 1 species
AACGAACGCUGGCGGCAGGCUUAACACAUGCAAGUCGAACGCCCCGCAAGGGGAGUGGCAGACGGGUGAGUAACGCGUGGGAAUCUACCUAGUUCUACGGAACAACUGAUGGAAACGUCAGCUAAUACCGUAUACGCCCUAUGGGGGAAAGAUUUAUCGGAAUUAGAUGAGCCCGCGUAAGAUUAGCUAGUUGGUGAGGUAAUGGCUCACCAAGGCGACGAUCUUUAGCUGGUCUGAGAGGAUGAUCAGCCACACUGGGACUGAGACACGGCCCAGACUCCUACGGGAGGCAGCAGUGGGGAAUAUUGGACAAUGGGCGCAAGCCUGAUCCAGCCAUGCCGCGUGAGUGAUGAAGGCCUUAGGGUUGUAAAGCUCUUUCAGUAGGGAAGAUAAUGACGGUACCUACAGAAGAAGCCCCGGCUAACUUCGUGCCAGCAGCCGCGGUAAUAC